UACAGAGGGGGCAAGCGUUGUUCGGAAUUACUGGGCGUAAAGGGCGCGUAGGCGGCCUUCUAAGUCAGACGUGAAAUCCCCGGGCUCAACCCGGGAACUGCGUCUGAUACUGGAGGGCUUGAGUUUGGGAGAGGGAUGCGGAAUUCCAGGUGUAGCGGUGAAAUGCGUAGAUAUCUGGAGGAACACCGGUGGCGAAGGCGGCAUCCUGGACCAACACUGACACUGAUGGGCGAAAGCCAGGGGAGCAAACGGG
rnacentral:rRNA from 1 species